GCGGAAGGAUCAUUAAAGAGACGUUGCCCUUCGGGGUCGACCUCCCACCCUAUGUUUAUCAUACCUCUGUUGCUUUGGCAGGCCCGUCCUCGGACCGCCGGCUCCGGCCGGCCCGUGCCUGCCAGGGAACCUAAAACUCUGUUUGUUAAUGCAGUCUGAGUACUAUAUAAUAGUUAAAACUUUCAACAACGGAUCUCUUGGUUCUGGCAUCGAUGAAGAACGCAGCGAAAUGCGAUAAGUAAUGUGAAUUGCAGAAUUCAGUGAAUCAUCGAAUCUUUGAACGCACAUUGCGCCCCCUGGUAUUCCGGGGGGCAUGCCUGUUCGAGCGUCAUUACAACCCUCAAGCUCUGCUUGGUAUUGGGCCCCGCCGGUUCCGGCGGGCCCUAAAGUCAGUGGCGGUGCCAUCCGGCUCCGAGCGUAGUAAUUCUUCUCGCUCUGGAGACCCGGCUGUGUGCUUGCCAGCAACCCCCAAUUUUUUAAGGUGACCUCGGAUCAGGUAGGGAUACCCGCUGAACUUAAGCAUAUCAAUAGGCGGAGAAAAUUAAAGAGACGUUGCCCUUCGGGGUCGACCUCCACCUAUGUUUAUCAUACCUCUGUUGCUUUGGCAGGCCGUCCUCGGACCGCCGGCUCGGCCGGCCGUGCCUGCAGGGAACCUAAAACUCUGUUUGUUAAUGCAGUCUGAGUACUAUAUAAUAGUUAAAACUUUCAACAAGGAAUCU
rnacentral:rRNA from 1 species